GGCAUUCGUCACUUUGCUGGUGGUCAGGAUGGUUUCCAUUACGACGGCCGUAUUCGUCGCUGUGCUGCUAGGAGCCGCUGAAGGUUGCAAUCGCCUGGGGGCUAUUCUAGCGCACGCAGAGCAGAAUGAGACGUCACACAAUGGCGCAGGUCACGAUGCCUUCACGCCCGUGGCAUCGCCGCUGAUGUGUUUGACAAUUCAUUUUCUACUGGGGUCAUCAGCGGCUUCUCUUAUCUGACGUUCAGGAAGACGUCAGAUGACGAGUCCGUCGCCUUUAUGUUAGUGUUAAGGAACCUUUGUUUCACUUCGCCUGUACUCAGUCAAUAAAUGAAACGAAAAUAAAUAA